AGUGAACGCUGGCGGCAGGCCUAACACAUGCAAGUCGAACGACAGCACAGUUUCAGCUUGCUACUACGGGCGGCGAGUUGCGUACGGGUUAUGAAUACAUCGUUUUCUAUUUUUUUGUCCCGGAUAACUUAGGGUUACUUCCGCUAGUACUACAUACGACCUAUCGGUGUUAUCUUAAGAUCUUGGUACCUUGCGCUAUUUAAUCAGCCGAUUUCGGAUUAGCUAGUUGAGGGGGUAAAGGCCCACCAAGGCGACGAUCCGUAGCUGGUCUGAGUGGGUGAUCAGCCACACUGGAACUGAGACACGGUCCAGACUCCUACGGGAGGCAGCAGUGGGGAAUAUUGGACAAUGGGAGCAAGCCUGAUCCAGCCAUACCGCGUGGGUGAAGAAGGCCUUCGGGUUGUAAAGCCCUUUUGUUGGGAAAGAAAAGCAGCAGGUUAAUACCCCGCUGUUCUGACGGUACCCAAAGAAUAAGCACCGGCUAACUUCGUG
rnacentral:rRNA from 1 species